CCGGCGACCGGCGCACGGGUGAGUAACACGUAUGCAACCUGCCCUCCGCAGGGGGAUAACCCGGAGAAAUCCGGACUAAUACCGCGUGGUACAUCUGUGGGGCAUCCCACGGGUGUUAAAAGGAAGCGAUUCCGGCGGAGGAUGGGCAUGCGGCGCAUUAGCUAGUUGGCGGGGUAACGGCCCACCAAGGCGACGAUGCGUAGGGGUUCUGAGAGGAAGGUCCCCCCACACUGGUACUGAGACACGGACCAGACUCCUACGGGAGGCAGCAG
rnacentral:rRNA from 1 species